rnacentral:lncRNA from 1 species
CGCGCGGCCCCAGGUGACCCGCCCCCGUCGCUCUAGCACCUGGGCCGGCCUCGGGGGCCGCGGGAGGACGGCAGGGAGUCCCCGGGAGGUCGGAGAUGGAGAACACUGGGAAUCACAUUACAGCAGAGAUUGUCACAAGAACCAGGAGGGGCAUUCGAGGUGAGUGGCAUCUCCAUGAGAGAAAGUGUUAUUUCUAUGAGAGUCUUAGGAGCUGUCACUGUGUGUGUGUAUAAA